rnacentral:rRNA from 1 species
UGCAGUCGAACGAAGUAGCAAUACUUAGUGGCAGACGGGUGAGUAACAUGUAGGUAUCUGCCCUUUGGCCUGGAAUAACACGAGGAAACUUGUGCUAAUACCGGAUAAGUCUUUACGGAGAAAGCUUUAUGCACCAUUGGAUGAGCCUGCACUUGAUUAGUUUGUUGGUGGGGUAAUGGCCUACCAAGACUGUGAUCAAUAGCUGAUUUGAGAGGAUGAUCAGCCACAUUGGGACUGAGACACGGCCCAAACUCCUACGGGAGGCAGCAGUGGGGAAUCUUGCACAAUGGAGGAAACUCUGAUGCAGCGAUGCCGCGUGAGUGAAGAAGGCCCUUGGGUUGUAAAGCUCUUUCGUCGGGGAAGAAAAUGACUGUACCCGAAUAAGAAGGUCCGGCUAACUUCGUGCCAGCAGCCGCGGUAAUACGAAGGGACCUAGCGUAGUUCGGAAUUACUGGGCUUAAAGAGUUCGUAGGUGGUUGAAAAAGUUGGUGGUGAAAUCCCAGAGCUUAACUCUGGAACUGCCAUCAAAACUUUUCAGCUAGAGUAUGAUAGAGGAAAGCAGAAUUUCUAGUGUAGAGGUGAAAUUCGUAGAUAUUAGAAAGAAUACCAAUUGCGAAGGCAGCUUUCUGGAUCAUUACUGACACUGAGGAACGAAAGCAUGGGUAGCGAAGAGGAUUAGAUACCCUCGUAGUCCAUGCCGUAAACGAUGUGUGUUAGACGUUGGAAAUUUAUUUUCAGUGUCGCAGCGAAAGCGAUAAACACACCGCCUGGGGAGUACGACCGCAAGGUUAAAACUCAAAUGAAUUGACGGGGACCCGCACAAGUAGUGGAGCAUGUGGUUUAAUUCGAAGAUACGCGCAGAACCUUACCAACACUUGACAUGUUCGUCGCGACUCUAAGAGAUUAGAGUUUUCGGUUCGGCCGGACGAAACACAGGUGCUGCAUGGCUGUCGUCAGCUCGUGUCGUGAG